AUGUGUACUUUUCCUUUCGUGCAAAUCUGCGGAGAAAUCAGUAAUGCGUAUUUAUUUCUCAGUGACAAAACAAGAUGUAAGUUCCAGGUCCCCGACCACGCAGUUUAAUCUUGAGACUGUCAUGAACUUGACAGUUAAGACCCUGCUUCUGAAGAUGCCACAUAUGUGAGUCAUGGAACAUAGCGAAAUCGAGCUGGUGCCGUCGACCUGGAAGUGUCAGCCCACUGGCUAGCAUUCACAGAGCUUGAAAGUGCUCUGUGAGCUUCCAGGGCAAGCCAGUGAUCAUCAGUCAUACCCAGCUCUGAACCCUGGGAGCUACAACACAGACUGGCCUGGCAAGGCAUGCCCACUGGUGUGAUGGUGGCUCAAUCAUCAUACAGUUCAGUACAUCUCUCAACCCUCAUCUGAGAAGCAAUGGAUGAACUGCAAACAGCCAAGGCCAAGAGAAUGAGAGACUCACGCUAAAUGGGAAAAUAUAUACCCUACCCUCUCAUCCCAUGGCUUGGGGAUCACUGAGGAAGAGAGGGUGAGAAAAAGCAGAAGACCCAGAUGGUAGAGAACUCUAAGGAAACAGUGGCGUCUGGAUAGAGCAGAGUGGCUCAGUGUAUGAACCUGCAGCAGUUGUGACAGUACACAUGGGAUGGAUGAAAGGCAAGCCUCAGCAUGAAGGUGGAAAUUGUCCACGAAAGCCUACUCCCAGCCAGGGAGUUACUGGCAACUGUUAGCUGCUAGGGGAGAGAGAGGAGGAGAGGGGACGGGGGGGGGGGGGGUGAGAGAAAAAUUUUCUCUAAAAGAAUAGCCCCUGGUGACCUGGCCAUGCUUCUAAUGGAAGGCCACCCAUCCAAAAAAUACUUGGGUAGCACAAAUUGGGCUUGAGUUAAACAACCACAAAAAUGAUGAAUAGCACACAAAGGUGGCUGGGCAGGGGGGCAGGGUUGGAUUUAGUCAGAAUUAGGGAAAGGGGAGUAAAAUGAUCAACUCAUGUUAUAUGAAAUUCUCAAAGAACUAAUAUAAAUUUUUAAAGUAUAUUUUGGAAAUCAACAUAAUCUCUGGAAAGUAGAGUAUGUUUUAAAAGAAGUACCUGGCACUCUGCUCCCCAUCUACUGUGUGUGUGUGUGGGGGGGGGGGGGAUGAUGGUUAGCUCUGAUUGUCUUUCCUAGGUGAGUUAAUAUGGGAAGACGCCGCCCACUGUGGGCAGCACCAUUCACUAUAGAGGUCGUCCCUGUGCGAGUGGAGAAACACAAGCAAACAGGCAUGAUGCAUUGGCUGUGGGCGUGACCAGUUCCCUCAAGUUCCUCCCACCUUGACUUCCUCACAUGUAAGACUGGAACUAUGAGCUAAAAAUAAUCCCUGUCCCCUGAGCUGCUUUUUAUUAGGGCGUUUUAUCAUACAGAAGUGAACCGUGUGUAUGUGUGCGCACAUUUUAUCUAUGUACAUGUAUGUACAUGUAUGUACACGUGGAAGGCACAGUUGGCCAUCAGGCCUCUUUCUCUAUUGCUCUCUCUUUUGUUCUAAUUUGUUUCAAUAUUUGAUACAGGAUCUCUGCUCUAAGUCUCCCUUCUAUUUUGUGAUUUAAAAACAACAACAACAACAACAACAACCCUGGCAAAAAGCAACUGAGAGGAGAACUCAGGGAGGAGAGUGUGCACUUAUCUUGCAGGUCACACAGUCCACUGUUAAGAGAGGUGACGGUAAGAACUGAAGCACAAACUAUGGAGGAAGACUGCUUGCUGCUCUGCUCUCUGCCUUUCUCUGCCUUUCUUAUACAGACCAGGACCCUCCUGCGUAGGGAUGGAGCCACCCACAGUGGGAUGGACUCUCCUACAGCAAUCAGCAAUCAAGGCAAUCUCUCACAUUCAUGCCCACAAAUCAACCUGAUAAAGACAACUCCUUUUUCAAGUGAUUCUGGGCUAUGUCAUGUUGAUAGGUAACUAGGCCAGCCUCUCACUAACUUGUAGCCCAUUGAUUUGGCCAGGCUGGCUGGCCUGCUCCAGAGACCUAUUUAUCUCCACACCUCCUCAGUGCUAGGGUUAUAGGUACACUCUGCCACACUCGCCCUUGGCUUUUAUAUGAAUGUCAGGGAUUCAAACAUAUGUCUAUGCUUAUGAAGCAAGGACUUUACACACCAAACUAUUCCUCCAGACCCCUCAAGCACUUCCAGCUUUGAAGUAAAUGUCUUUAUGCUUAAACCCUAGUGCUCUGGACAACAGGGACAUACUGCAAGAGCCCACGGCAGGGCUGUGUGGGGGAUACUAUGACUGACUGUGCAAGUGUCCAUGCAAAGCUUUAGGGUCAGCACUGGUACUAGUGACCUUGGCCUCAGUGCAGGGAGGACUCCGCUGUAGCAUCACCCACACACAGAGGCAGAGUGUAGACACUGUGAGCUCUCUACCAGUGUUCCCAGAUCCCCAAAUCCUGAUAGCCAGGAUCUGCAGGACCAAGCUUGUCCCCUCCAGACUGUUAGCUUCAUGGUCUAGAAUAUCACGUCACACCACCAUGUUAUACGGACUGGCUAGGUCCCACACCCCAAAACUCAGAUAUAGAAAUCCUAACCCCAGUACAUCAGAAUUCAAUGGGAUUUGGAGAUGAGGCUUUAAAUGGGCAAUUAAAUAACACGAAGGUCAUUAGGAUAGACUUUAAUCCUCUGAUAUAACAGUAAAAAAAAAGAUCGAAACACAAAUAGUGGUAGGUGGGGGUUGUUGGGAGGGGAGGAUUAAUGACCAUCUGAGAGCCACGGAGGAAGGCCUUGGAAUGGACAACCCAGAAUGGUGAAGAGAAACCUUCUUGUCAUCCAUCUGAGCUACCCUCGCUGUGGUCCUUUUAAUAGCAGCCCUAGAAAACUAAUGUAUGUUCCACUAAAGGUUGUGUUGCUCUAGCCUCAAUUCAAACUAGAAGUUGGCCAUCACUGUUCUGGCAUCUGCCGGUGAGAUCAUUAACUACUAAUUACUAAUUGUUAAUCGUUAACUAUUAAUUAUUAAUAACAGUCAAUUUACACACACACACACUAACCCAUCACCUCUCAUAAAAGUAAACCCAGCAGGUGCUAUCUCCCGCUCUCUCCACUUUGCCCUCCUUUCUUACCUGGU